UCCGGUUGAUCCCGCCGGACCCCACUGCUAUCGGGAUAGGACUAAGACAUGCUAGUCGAGCGCCUCAGCCAAAAAGAGGCGCGGCAUACAGCUCAGUAACACGUGGCUAAUCUGCCCUUAGGACGAGAACAACCCCGGGAAACUGGGGCUAAUUCUCGAUAGGCGAAGAACUCUGGAAUGGGUCUUCACCCAAAAAGCUUUACGUUAUGCGCGUGAAGUCGCCUAAGGAUGAGGCCGCGACCGAUCAGGUUGUUGGUGAGGUAAUGGCUCACCAAGCCUUUUACCGGUGCGGGCCGUGAGAGCGGGAGCCCGGAGAUGGGCACUGAGACAAGGGCCCAGGCCCUACGGGGCGCAGCAGUCGCGAAAACUUUGCAAUACACGAAAGUGUGACAGGGCUAUCCCGAGUGCCAUCCGCUGAGGAAGGCUUUUACCCAGUCUAGAACGCUGGGGGAAUAAGGAGAGGGCAAGUCUGGUGUCAGCCGCCGCGGUAAUACCAGCUCUCCGAGUGGUGUGGAUGUUUAUUGGGCCUAAAGCAUCCGUAGCUGGCUAAGUUAGUCCCUUGUUAAAUCCACUGAAUUAAUCGUUGGAUUGCGGGGGAUACUGCUUGGCUAGGGGACGAGAGAGGCAGACGGUAUUCCCGGGGUAGGGGUGAAAUCCUAUAAUCCCGAGAAGACCACCAGUGGCGAAGGCUGUCUGCUAGAACGCGCCCGACGGUGAGGGAUGAAAGCUGGGGGAGCGAACCGGAUUAGAUACCCGGGUAGUCCCAGCUGUAAACGAUGCAGGCUAGUGUUUGGACGGCACGUGCCGUUCUAGUGCCGCAGGGAAGCUGUUAAGCCUGCCGCCUGGGAGUACGAUCGCAAGAAUGAACUUAAAG
rnacentral:rRNA from 1 species